AGAGCCUGAAUCAGUGUGUGUGUUAGUGGAAGCGUCUGGAAAGGCGCGCGAUACAGGGUGACAGCCCCGUACACAAAAAUGCACAUGCUGUGAGCUCGAUGAGUAGGGCGGGACACGUGGUAUCCUGUCUGAAUAUGGGGGGACCAUCCUCCAAGGCUAAAUACUCCUGACUGACCGAUAGUGAACCAGUACCGUGAGGGAAAGGCGAAAAGAACCCCGGCGAGGGGAGUGAAAAAGAACCUGAAACCGUGUACGUACAAGCAGUGGGAGCACGCUUAGGCGUGUGACUGCGUACCUUUUGUAUAAUGGGUCAGCGACUUAUAUUCUGUAGCAAGGUUAACCGAAUAGGGGAGCCGAAGGGAAACCGAGUCUUAACUGGGCGUUAAGUUGCAGGGUAUAGACCCGAAACCCGGUGAUCUAGCCAUGGGCAGGUUGAAGGUUGGGUAACACUAACUGGAGGACCGAACCGACUAAUGUUGAAAAAUUAGCGGAUGACUUGUGGCUGGGGGUGAAAGGCCAAUCAAACCGGGAGAUAGCUGGUUCUCCCCGAAAGCUAUUUAGGUAGCGCCUCGUGAAUUCAUCUCCGGGGGUAGAGCACUGUUUCGGCAAGGGGGUCAUCCCGACUUACCAACCCGAUGCAAACUGCGAAUACCGGAGAAUGUUAUCACGGGAGACACACGGCGGGUGCUAACGUCCGUCGUGAAGAGGGAAACAACCCAGACCGCCAGCUAAGGUCCCAAAGUCAUGGUUAAGUGGGAAACGAUGUGGGAAGGCCCAGACAGCCAGGAUGUUGGCUUAGAAGCAGCCAUCAUUUAAAGAAAGCGUAAUAGCUCACUGGUCGAGUCGGCCUGCGCGGAAGAUGUAACGGGGCUAAACCAUGCACCGAAGCUGCGGCAGCGACGCUGAUGCGUUGUUGGGUAGGGGAGCGUUCUGUAAGCCUGCGAAGGUGUGCUGUGAGGCAUGCUGGAGGUAUCAGAAGUGCGAAUGCUGACAUAAGUAACGAUAAAGCGGGUGAAAAGCCCGCUCGCCGGAAGACCAAGGGUUCCUGUCCAACGUUAAUCGGGGCAGGGUGAGUCGACCCCUAAGGCGAGGCCGAAAGGCGUAGUCGAUGGGAAACAGGUUAAUAUUCCUGUACUUGGUGUUACUGCGAAGGGGGGACGGAGAAGGCUAUGUUGGCCGGGCGACGGUUGUCCCGGUUUAAGCGUGUAGGCUGGUUUUCCAGGCAAAUCCGGAAAAUCAAGGCUGAGGCGUGAUGACGAGGCACUACGGUGCUGAAGCAACAAAUGCCCUGCUUCCAGGAAAAGCCUCUAAGCAUCAGGUAACAUCAAAUCGUACCCCAAACCGACACAGGUGGUCAGGUAGAGAAUACCAAGGCGCUUGAGAGAACUCGGGUGAAGGAACUAGGCAAAAUGGUGCCGUAACUUCGGGAGAA
rnacentral:rRNA from 1 species